GUAAUAUGUUAUUCCUUGGCUAUGAGAUACGGUAUGCAUUUCAUGGACCUUUCUUGCAGGCCAGACCCAGUCCCUGGGCAGGUAGAAAAGGGGGCAGAUCUCACAUUCAGAUCUGGGUGGUGUUUUUAGAGGCAGAAAACAGCUGGGCAAACGACACUUCUAUGUUUAGAUGUAUCUGCCUGUCUGCCUUAAAAUUAAGUAGUCACUCAUCCUUUGCAAGGAUAGCCCAGAAAGUGCCAAGUCUCAGGGGACAGAUUUCUUCUCAUUACCAUUUCAUAUCUAUGGAUCCUCUGACGGUGUCUUCCUCCAAGAUCCUUCUAGGUGAAAGGCUGAACAUGACUGUAAGGCUGUUGUCAUUACCCGUCUUCAAAGCAGGGCUGAAGAGGAUGUUCUUAGCCAGCAGUCUGUUUAUGCAAAAUACAUAAAUAGUUGCGGAAUUAAAAUGAUAUUUUCUACUGACUUUCUAUCAAUCAGGGGAUGAGAAUUGCAUCCUGCAAGCAUAUUGUAGAAAACAUCUAUGGAAAAUAGAUAUUUUUAAAGCAAUCUAAGGUGUUGUACUUUUCAUAAGAAAAUACAACAUAAAAGCAGAGCAUAGGAAUAAUAAUGUCCUUAUAUACACAUUUUAUCAAUGUAAAUGUGUCUUUUUAAAAAGAUAUCAUGGCCUCCUGAUGAAGAGAAAUAUCACAGAACUAUACCGUGAAGCAUUGAAUGCAUCAUGAGAAGGAUAUGCCCUGACAACAAAAACAAACCCUUGAUGGUCAAUAAAGACCACCUGAUUAAAUCACUCUGGUCAUUCAUGUAAAUAGUAAUGAUACUGCUGACAAUGAAUGUAUGAUGAGAUAGAUGACAAACAAGAGGGUCUGACAUGGAAGCAAAAGACUCAGGAUAAAUAAUAAAAUCCUCUUGUAGGGAUGGGUAUCUCUAGAUAAAGGAUGAAUGGUUGUCUAUGCAGUUUGGAUUGUGAAUGAGCAUAAGUGCUAUAACUGCAGAAAGAUGUUCAAUGAGGGGCUGAGAAGAAGACAACAUAUUAAUCUCAAUGUGGCAGGAAGACAACUGCACAUGUCCAUGUGCAUGUCCUUGGCUUUUUAAUUUCUUAAUUUAAAAGGAGGAAAAAAAAAGAAAAAAAGAAAUAAUGAGGGGCCUGGAGAACAAGUCCUAUGAGGAGCGGCUGAAGGAGCUGGGCUUG